rnacentral:rRNA from 1 species
UACGUAGGGGGCAAGCGUUGUCCGGAUUUAUUGGGCGUAAAGAGCGUGUAGGCGGCUAUACAGGUCCGCUGUGAAAACUCGAGGCUCAACCUCGAGACGUCGGUGGAAACCGUAUGGCUAGAGUCCGGAAGAGGAGAGUGGAAUUCCUGGUGUAGCGGUGAAAUGCGCAGAUAUCAGGAAGAACACCCGUGGCGAAGGCGGUUCUCUGGGACGGUACUGACGCUGAGACGCGAAAGCGUGGGGAGCGAACAGG